GAUGCUACUGUUCAAUAUAAGUAAACUAUUCCAUGAGCAAAAGGAAAACAUGCAUGUAGCUAGAAAUCAAAGAAUACACAUGUAGCUAGAAAGAAAGGAAGCAAACCUCGAGCAGCAAAACAGAGUUACAACAAAACAGAAGAUCAACAUGCAGCAACAUAGGAGAUUGCAUAACCUGGUAAAUAAACAUAAAUGAAGUAGUCAGAGUAGGCAGAAAACUUCAUGCGCCAAGGCAUUGAAACAUUUUACAGUUCAGUUUGCAAGUUCAAAAUUGACACCAUGGCGGCGCACAACUAUUGAGUAAAAGAUGGUUUGGAACUGAAACAUCUCUCCUUGUAUUUCCUAUAUUCCACACACCUAAAUUAAACCAGCAAGUUAGCAUGUAAUUAUUAACAAAGAAACACCACAACAACCUAAUCAACCAUAUCCCUUCUUUAAUAUUUCCUUUCUUUUUUGUAAUUCUAAUUUUUCAACAUGGCACAAGGAUUUAUGCCAAUUUAAUCUCACACUAAGAUCUAAACUUAGUGUGUGGCAUAUAUGUUAAUACCCCCAACCUAAAAUCUGAGAAGAGCAAGAACAACAAAACUGAGAAAGUUCCCUUGGUUAUUCUAAGUUUUCGUCGAACUGGCAAAAUCAUUUGUAGGCAACUCAAGUUAUACGCCGCGUGCAAGAACAGAACUUCCUCAGAAACCUCACAAAUAUACGACAAGUCAGGUAAGUAACAAUAUAUUGAGGAUGAAAAAAAUACUUAUCAAUACAUGAGUUGAGAAACCAAUCAUAUACCUUCAGAUUCAAUGACACAAUUAUCCUCGAAAGAUCUUAAGCCUGGAGGGCCCUUCAACUG
rnacentral:lncRNA from 1 species